UACGAAGGGGGCUAGCGUUGUUCGGAAUUACUGGGCGUAAAGCGCACGUAGGCGGAUACUUAAGUCAGGGGUGAAAUCCCGGGGCUCAACCCCGGAACUGCCUUUGAUACUGGGUAUCUCGAGUCCGGUAGGGGAGUGUGGAAUUCCCGGUGUAGCGGUGAAAUGCGCAGAUAUCGGGAGGAACACCAGUAGCGAAGGCGACUUCCUGGCCUGUUCUUGACGCUGAGGCGCGAAAGCUAGGGGAGCAAACGGG
rnacentral:rRNA from 1 species